UUUUUUUUUUUUUUUUUUUUUUUUUCCUUCAAGCACUCUUACUUGUCUCUUUCUCCCACGGGCCUCCCCGGUCUGGGCCAGGAGUCUGUGGCCAACCCUUCUCCAUCCUCUCCUGGUGGAGGGUCCCGCCAUCAGGGAGGGCGAUGUGGCCCUACUGUGCGUGGUGGGAAAGAGGGGGACUCUGGAGGCCCCAGCUGGCCCCCUAUUAUAUUGGCUUCUAUUAAAUUGAAACACAUAGCACAUCUAUUACACAAUAAACCACAGCUAUUUCAUGGAUCAAAUUAAGUUUUAUUUGGGCAAAUUACAACCUUUCCUACAGUCGUGCCUUUGUGAGGCCAUUCCUUUUUAAUAAAAGCAAGCAUUUCUGGGUCUGGCCCUGCUGGACCAAAGCUCCGUGGUGGGUUGGGGGCUCAGGCCAGGGCUGGCAAGAGGGUGGGAGUGUGUGUGUGUGUGUGUGUGUGUGACUCUGUGUGUGUGUGUGUGUGUGUGUGUGUGUGUGUGUGUGUGUAGGAGAGAAAGAGAGGGAGCGAGAGAGAGAGAGAGAUGGGAAUUCUUGGGUCCCCUCUGGGGACUGGAUUUGUCCAUCUUUUCCCCUGCUUCCCCAUCCUGAAGUUUCCAUGGAAGUCUGCAAUGAAGUUCUCAUUUAACAAGAAAAAGGCGGCAGCAGCAGGGAAGCAUUUCCCGGAAUCCAGGAGGAAGCAUGAGUCACUGGCCUGCUAAGUGAGCCCUGCGUGGCCACUACGGCACCAGCCCAGGAGGCCUGGAGCACAGGGCCAGCCUCCAGGACCGCGCCAGGCUGCCCGCAUAGACAUGCCCACUGCCCGGGCUGACGCAGGCUCCGGGAAUGCAAACAAAGGUGACAUAAGUGCUGCUUUGGAGCCAGAAGCCAGCGUUCUGGGAUCUAGAGGUGACGGAAGGUGCUGGGCCCAACGUGCACGCUUGGCCCGUGCUGGGUCCAGCAGAGAAGGAGGGCCAAUGGGCAAACUGCCAACCUGAAAGCUGGAGAGAAGGGGGAAUAUGCAGAAGCACAACCAGGAUCAGCUCAUCGGGGGCAGAAGCCACCAGAACCAGUAACUCUUAGGAUUACUUAAACGAUGGUGAUUGUGAGGACCUGGCGGAAGCUGGGUGUGGACUGGAUUGCAAGUUACAAACGUGGUCCCCUCCUAGGGACGCCCGGACUUUUAUGGGCUUCACCCCCAGGAGCCCUACCCAGUUCAUACGAUGAAGAUCAGAGUAAAAACCCCUUCUGUUUGGAGCAGAAAAAAUAAACACUUUGCAAUAUU